rnacentral:rRNA from 1 species
AGUGAACGCUGGCGGUAGGCCUAACACAUGCAAGUCGAACGGCAGCACAGUAAGAGCUUGCUCUUACGGGUGGCGAGUGGCGGACGGGUGAGGAAUACAUCGGAAUCUACUUUUUCGUGGGGGAUAACGUAGGGAAACUUACGCUAAUACCGCAUACUACCUACGGGUGAAAGCAGGGGAUCUUCGGACCUUGCGCGAUUGAAUGAGCCGAUGUCGGAUUAGCUAGUUGGCGGGGUAAAGGCCCACCAAGGCGACGAUCCGUAGCUGGUCUGAGAGGAUGAUCAGCCACACUGGAACUGAGACACGGUCCAGACUCCUACGGGAGGCAGCAGUGGGGAAUAUUGGACAAUGGGCGCAAGCCUGAUCCAGCCAUACCGCGUGGGUGAAGAAGGCCUUCGGGUUGUAAAGCCCUUUUGUUGGGAAAGAAAAGCAGCAGGUUAAUACCCCGAUGUUCUGACGGUACCCAAAGAAUAAGCACCGGCUAACUUCGUG